rnacentral:rRNA from 1 species
ACUCAAAUGAAUUGACGGGGACCCGCACAAGCAGUGGAGCAUGUGGUUUAAUUCGAUGCAACGCGAAGAACCUUACCCAGGUUUGACAUGCAGAGGAAGUUACCAGAGAUGGUACCGCCCUUCGGGGCCUCUGCACAGGUGCUGCAUGGCUGUCGUCAGCUCGUGCCGUGAGGUGUUGGGUUAAGUCCCGCAACGAGCGCAACCCUUAUCGUUAGUUGCCAACAGGUAAUGCUGGGAACUCUAGCGAGACUGCCUGGGUUAACCAGGAGGAAGGUGAGGAUGACGUCAAGUCCGCAUGGCCCUUAUAUCUGGGGCUACACACGUGCUACAAUGGGUGGUACAGAAGGCAGCGAAACCGCGAGGUGAAGCAAAUCCCAAAAGCCACCCCCAGUUCAGAUUGUAGUCUGCAACUCGACUACAUGAAGACGGAAUUGCUAGUAAUGGCGAGUCAGCAACAUCGCCGUGAAUACGUUCCCGGGUCUUGCACACACCGCCCGU